GUAGGGAAUCUUCCACAAUGGACGCAAGUCUGAUGGAGCAACGCCGCGUGAGUGAAGAAGGUUUUCGGAUCGUAAAGCUCUGUUGUUGGUGAAGAAGGAUAGAGGUAGUAACUGGCCUUUAUUUGACGGUAAUCAACCAGAAAGUCACGGCUAACUACGUGCCAGCAGCCGCGGUAAUACGUAGGUGGCAAGCGUUGUCCGGAUUUAUUGGGCGUAAAGCGAGCGCAGGCGGAAGAAUAAGUCUGAUGUGAAAGCCCUCGGCUUAACCGAGGAACUGCAUCGGAAACUGUUUUUCUUGAGUGCAGAAGAGGAGAGUGGAACUCCAUGUGUAGCGGUGGAAUGCGUAGAUAUAUGGAAGAACACCAGUGGCGAAGGCGGCUCUCUGGUCUGCAACUGACGCUGAGGCUCGAAAGCAUGGGUAGCGAACAGG
rnacentral:rRNA from 1 species